AUGCAUGGGGAGUUCAUUAAGCUUCCAGAUGCUAAUGUUCAACCUCCCGAUGAUUACAAAUGGAAGUGGUCUGGUGAUGCACUUGGAGCACUAGAUGGUUGUCAUGUAGACGUUUCAGUUCCUGUGGCUGCCCAAGGGAGGUACAGGAAUAGAAAGCAAGCUAUCACUACUAACAUGCUCGGUGUGGUGGACUGGAACAUGAAAUUUCUUUAUGUCUUACCUGGCUGGGAGGGUUCCGCUUCCGACUCAAGAGUCCUCCGUGACUCAAUGAGAACUGAUCGCCAAGAUGCAUUUGUUGUACCUCAUGGAAAAUAUUACUUGGCUGAUGCUGGUUACACGAAUGGGCCUGGAUUUCUAGCUCCAUUCAGAUCCACUCGGUAUCACUUGAAAGAGUGGGCAUCAAGUCAUCAACAACCCCAAACUGCCAAAGAGUUAUAUAACUUGCGCCAUUCUCGUGCUGGAAAUGUAGUAGAGAGAACUUUUGGGUUGUGGAAGAAGAAGUGGGAUUCGAAUCAUUAA
rnacentral:rRNA from 1 species